AUACGGAGGAUCCGAGCGUUAUCCGGAUUUAUUGGGUUUAAAGGGUGCGCAGGCGGCCAUUUAAGUCAGCGGUUAAAUCGUGGGGCUCAACCCCAUUCUGCCGUUGAUACUGGGUGGCUUGAUUGCGGUCGAGGUUGGCGGAAUUCGUUGCGUAGCGGUGAAAUGCAUAGAUAUGACGAAGAACACCGAUUGCGUAGGCAGCUGACCAGACCGCAAAUGACGCUCAUGCACGAAAGUGCGGGGAUCGAACAGGAUUAGAUACCCUGGUAGUCCGCACAGUAAACGAUGAAUACUUGUUUUCGGCGAUAUAAUGUCGGAGGCAAAGCGAAAGCGAUAAGUAUUCCACCUGGGGAGUACGCCGGCAACGGUGAAACUCAAAUGAAUUGGCGGGG
rnacentral:rRNA from 1 species